GACGAACGCUGGCGGCGCGCCUAACACAUGCAAGUCGAACGAGCAAAGAGGAGCUUGCUUCUCUGAGCGAGUGGCGAACGGGUGAGUAACGCGUGAGGAACCUGCCUCAAAGAGGGGGACAACAGUUGGAAACGACUGCUAAUACCGCAUAAGCCCACAGGUCGGCAUCGACCAGAGGGAAAAGGAGCAAUCCGCUUUGAGAUGGCCUCGCGUCCGAUUAGCUAGUUGGUGAGGUAAUGGCCCACCAAGGCGACGAUCGGUAGCCGGACUGAGAGGUUGAACGGCCACAUUGGGACUGAGACACGGCCCAGACUCCUACGGGAGGCAGCAGUGGGGAAUAUUGCACAAUGGGGGAAACCCUGAUGCAGCGACGCCGCGUGGAGGAAGAAGGUCUUCGGAUUGUAAACUCCUGUUGU
rnacentral:rRNA from 1 species